rnacentral:rRNA from 1 species
AUUGAACGCUGGCGGCAGGCCUAACACAUGCAAGUCGAGCGGAUGAAGGGAGCUUGCUCCUGGAUUCAGCGGCGGACGGGUGAGUAAUGCCUAGGAAUCUGCCUGGCAGUGGGGGAUAACGUCCGGAAACGGGCGCUAAUACCGCAUAAGUCCUGAGGGAGAAAGUGGGGGAUCUUCGGACCUCACGCUCUCAGAUGAGCCUAGGGCGGAUUAGCUAGUUGGUGGGGUAAAGGCCUACCAAGGCGCCGAUCCGUAACUGGUCUGAGAGGAUGAUCAGUCACACUGGAACUGAGACACGGUCCAGACUCCUACGGGAGGCAGCAGUGGGGAAUAUUGGACAAUGGGCGAAAGCCUGAUCCAGCCAUGCCGCGUGUGUGAAGAAAGUCUUCGGAUUGUAAAGCACUUUAAGUUGGGAGGAAGGGCAGUAAGUUAAUACCUUGCUGUUUUGACGUUACCAACAGAAUAAGCACCGGCUAACUUCGUG